ACCAUUGCAUUUGUGGCACUUUAUUUCUUACAAAAUUAUGAAUAUAAAGUAAUCUAAGCUAGUAUUAUAAUUGGUACAAAUGUAUUGCUUCAUUUAAGACAUUUUUCUAGUUUCUGUGGUUCACAUCUGGAGUUAUAAAGCUUUAAAUAGGGUAACCCCUAAAUGGGCAAGGAUUGACAGGUACUCUAGUGGUUGGGGUGGAGUUAACUAGCUAUUGUUCCCACCCAUUAUCUCCCUGUGAGAAGUGUGAAAAGUUCAAGAUCUUUCAAGGGGAUUUUCUCUGCUACUUGAUUUUAGGAGUACCAACAUUCAAAUAAGCAUAUCUUCUUCAAAUAUUUUCAGAUUUCAAUGUAUAACACAUCAUUUGAAAGUUUAUAAUCUGCACUUUCAUAAUCUGUAAAAAACUGAAAAAUGACCUUGCCAUACUUGAGGACCAAAACACCAGCACCUGUCAGCGUUCGUGGUGUUUUGGAAAAGCGGCAUUCGGAAGCAGCUCCGAUUUGUGAUAGUGCAUCCAGCUCUUUGAUAUACCAACACCCCACCACCACCAUGGGCCACUCUGAAACCGUGAUUCAUCAGUGAAGAGGACCAUUCUCCAGCGUGCCAGUGGCCAUCGAAGAAAUCCAAACUCGGACGCUUGGCCUUUCAUCGCGUUCUCCGCCUCCUCCAUCCUGAACUGGGAGUCUUGGCCUUCCACCCUGUUCUCCCUCUGCCAUCCUGAUAAAGAAGGAACCGGCUAUGAUGCCAUACUGCCCAGGACUCUGAAAGCAAGUGAUAGAUCAAAGACUAAACAAUUAUUUCUGAUUUAAAAGCCUGUUUAGACUAAGUGGUCACCAGGUGCCUAUGUAGUAUCUUAUGUCAGUCAGGGCAUAGCCAAUCGUUUACCUUGUUAUUUGAAUGGACACAGCCAAUCAUUUUCUUUGUUGAAUUUUACUUUGGGUGUUUCUCAAUACCAAGAAUGCAAAGAACGGACUUGUGUUCUUGGGGAGAACGUUCUUGCUAGUCGUUCUUGGAAGAAUGAACUCAGCAAGCUCACAAGGACAGAGAAUGCUGUUAUAUGCAUUUGAGAUACCAUGCGUGCUUGUGACGUGUGGUUACUCUACCUGACAGUCGCUGUCCUCGGUGUAUUCUAGUUUCUUUCAAAGGCUGCUUUACAUUGGUUUGGGGUAUAGUUUUAUUUAAAUUGUAAACUAGCGUUAAUUGUAGGCUACUUAAAAAAUCAAAGCUAACAAAACGCCUCUUUUAUCCUCUGUUCUCUGGCUAGUUAGUACAUGUCAGUUUCUCAAUUCACAAUUGCUUUCUAUACCGACAAAAAUCUACCUAGCACUUUCAGCAACAAGGGCAGGCUUGGAUAAACCGAAGCAGUUAACCAAACGUCAACAAGUUAGCCGAGCCAUUCCGAUCAUUUAAAAUUGCUCUGUACAUCACAGCUAACAACUUCAAGUCAGCGUAUGCUACAGCACACAACUCCGCUUGCCUCUGUUGAUGCACCCCCUACAACAGAGGCUGGCUACGGGCCGAUACUUAUUCACAAAAGCUGUAUUUAAAAUGAGUUAAAAUGCUGCUAUUUUAACACCAAUUUCUUGCCUCAUUUUCGUUUGUGGAAGAUUUUAGUCACAUUUAUUAGUGAAAUGAAAACUAAAAAAGUUUAAUUUGGCUCGGCUAGCACGUAAUAGGCUACUAUCCUCUAGCUAUGAGUUGGUCUCUAAGGUAACAGAUUUAACACAAUUAGAGCCGAAUGAAAUGUUUUUAGUUAUAUGCUGUAUGGUUAAAAUGAGCUGAAAUUCAGUUAUUAUAACAUAUAUUUCUCGCAUCAUUUUCAUUCUUAGAAGGAUUUUCGUAACAUUUAUUAGUGAGAUGAGAAAAAAAAAAUUGUGACCGUGCAGUGGUCUCGUCUGCUAUCGCGCAAUGAAUGCUGGGAUAUUUGUGUUGUCUACUUAAUACAAGUUACCAAUCGAUGCAUCCUCAGUAAAAUCGGCAUGUCAAGAACACUUCCGGGAAUUUUAACCGUUCUUGGCGAAAUGCGAACUUGAGUAUUGGGACAGUACUUGGGCUGCAAAAGAUGACGUUUCACAAGAACACAAGUAUAGACAAGAACGCGUAUUGAGAAAAACCCUUUAUGCUUUACUGUUAACACUUUUUGCUAAUAACAGCAGGGACUGCCCCUGCUUUCCUCAGUUCAGCCUUAUCCACCUUGUUGUGAGUAGGUAUGGGACUCUUUCUGCAGAAAUAAAUCCUAUUUCUUAUAUGA